AUAUAAUUUGGUAGCUAAAAAUAAAAUGACCUCUUUAAAUCAAUGUCAAUUGAAAGCCACACCCCCACACUUGAUUGCUGAAUAAUUUAUAAGCCAGGCCCAUUAACAAUGUGCAAGGUGAGUGUACUGUUGUGGUAUGCUUUAGACUGAAGUGUGUAGUACUACCAGGUUGACAUGAGAAUGUAUUAUUUGUUUUGUUUGCACUUGUUGUUUAAAUGUUGACUCUGUUAAACUGUUUCAGUUUUUGGUCAAGUGUCCCAUCUUGAAAUCACAUUCCAGUUGUAGCUGCUGAACAAUGUGAGACUGGAGGCGGGAAACAUGUUCCCAGGGCUGUCUUCAUAGAUUUGAGCCUACAGUUAUGGAUGAGAUAAGGAACGGACACUACCGUCAGUUGUAUCACCCUGAACAACUCAUCAGUGGCAAAGAGGAUGCUGCCAAUAACUAUGCAUGUGGCCAUUACACUUUUGGAAAGGAGAUUGUGGAGUCCGUACUGGACAUAAUGUGUAAAAUGAUGAGUGGCUCUGAAUGUCUAAUUGCAAGUCCCUGUAUGGUGAUAUUUGGAUAAAUGGCUUAAUGUGUGAAUUUUCUCAGGCAGACCAAUGCACUGGACUACAAGGCUUCCUAAUAUUCCAUAGUUUUGGGGGUGGGACUGGCUCAGGCUUCGCUGUUGAUGGAGCGUAUGUCUGUAGAUUACGACAAGAAGUCCAAACUGGAGUUCUCUGUCUACCCUGUGCCCCAGGUGUCUACAGCAGUUGUGGAGACCUACAACUCCAUCUUGACCACACACACCACUCUGGAGCACUCAGAUUGCUCUUUCAUGGUGGAUAAUGAGGUCAUCUUUGACAUGCAAGUGUAAUCUUUGUGUGGAGCGUCCAUCUUAUACCUAUCUGAAUCGCCUCAUUGCCCAGAUUGUCUCCUCAAUCACUGCCUCCCUGUGCGUUGAUGGUGCACUCAAUGUGGACCUGACAGAGUUUCAGACCAACCUGAUACCUUACACCUGUAUCCACUUCCCCCAGGUCACUUAUGCUCCCAUUAUCUCAGCAGAAAGGGCCUAUCACGAGCAACUCUCUGUUCCUGAGAUCAAAUGCCUGCUUUGAGUCGGCUAACCAGAUGGUAAAGUGUGAUCCCAGGCUCGGAAAGUACAUGGCUUGCUGCUUGCUGUACCGUGGUGAUGUGGUGCCCAAAGAUGUCAACACAUCCAUCGCCCUCAUCAAGACCUGCAAAUCCAUUCAAUUUGUGGAUUGGUGUCCCACAGGAUUCAAGGUGGGCAUCAACUACCAGCUGCCUACUGUUGUGCCUGGGGGUGAUCUGGCCAAGGUGCAGAGAGCUGUGUGCAUGCUGAGUAACACCACAGCUAUUGCAGAGGCUUGGAGUCAUCUGGACCACAAGUUUGACCUGAUGUAUGCCAAGCGGGCCUUUGUGCACUGGUAUAUGGAGGGGAGUUCUCUGAGGCCAGAGAGGACAUGGCUGCACUGGAGAAGGAUUAUGAGGAGGUGGGGGCAGACUCUGGUAUUGGUUGUGAGGAGGAAGAUGAAUACUAAAUUUGCUUCCAAUUCAUUUUUAUACUUGUUCAGCCCCUUGUGUAAUUAUAACUCCAAGCAUUUGAAUUCAUGUUUUUUUUUAUUGAUACAUAUAUGACGGUUUGGAACUUGGCAGGUGUGGCUGUGUAUAAUUGCAAUAAGGUUCUAGCAUGGUGUCUCAACUUUGGGGGUGGUAGGCUAAUUUACAUACUCAAAGAAGAUUAGCAAUUGACAUGGCAACAAGAAUUGUUGGUACAUCUGCAAGUAACAUUCAGACUACACCUGACUGUAUUUAAGACAAAUGGUGGCUCUAAACUGUAAAUGGGGAGGAUCAACUUCAUAUCUGACUUGUGUAAAUCUAGCAUUGUUGUCAAUGGGAACACAACCUGUACAUGGCGUAGGCGUUACAUUGUCCAAUAUUUGACUGAUUAACAUUAUUCGAGAUGUGCCGUCUGAAGUGUCAGUAUAUAACUGAUACAUUUCCCAGUUCUUUGUAGAGCUACAACAAAAAGCAAACCUUUCUCAAAGACCAAUGAAAUGUAUGACUAAUAGGCCUAUGCUGGAAAAUUGUGCCACCAGACUGAGCAUGUCAAAUUUGUCACAUAUGCAUUUCGCAGCUCUUGAUGGUGUAGCGAAAUGCUUGUCAUGACACAAUGUAGUAAACUGUCAACCAGAAUAUGGGGUUUCAAAAGGGUUGAAUCAAGGACCGCAAUAGUCAACGUCUCCUGUAAACCCAGAUUCUGGG